GGCUUGUAUCGACCCGAGCCGUGCCGGAGCUAACGCGUUAAGUAUCCCGCCUGGGGAGUACGCACGCAAGUGUGAAACUCAAAGGAAUUGACGGGGGCCCGCACAAGCGGUGGAGUAUGUGGUUUAAUUCGAUGCAACGCGAAGAACCUUACCAAGACUUGACAUCCUGCGAAUCCCGGUGAAAGCUGGGAGUGCCUUAGGGAGCGCAGAGACAGGUGGUGCAUGGCUGUCGUCAGCUCGUGUCGUGAGAUGUUGGGUUAAGUCCCGCAACGAGCGCAACCCUCGUUUUUAGUUGCCAGCAUUAAGUUGGGCACUCUAGAGAGACUGCCGGUGACAAACCGGAGGAAGG
rnacentral:rRNA from 1 species